rnacentral:tRNA from 1 species
GCCCCGGUAGUAUAGCCAGGUUAAGUAUAGCGGCCUUUCGAGCCGUUGACCCGGGUUCAAAUCCCGGCCGGGGCA